UACGUAGGGUGCAGGCGUUAAUCGGAAUUACUGGGCGUAAAGCGUGCGCAGGCGGUUUCUUAAGUCAGAUGUGAAAGCCCCGGGCUUAACCUGGGAAUGGCAUUUGGGACUGCAAGGCUCGAGUGCGGCAGAGGAGACUGGAAUUCCUGGUGUAGCAGUGAAAUGCGUAGAUAUCAGGAGGAACACCGAUGGCGAAGGCAAUCCCCUGGACCUGUACUGACGCUCAUGCACGAAAGCGUGGGGAGCAAACAGG
rnacentral:rRNA from 1 species